GAUGAACGCUGGCGGCGUGCCUAAUACAUGCAAGUCGAGCGAACAGACGAGGAGCUUGCUCCUUUGACGUUAGCGGCGGACGGGUGAGUAACACGUAGGUAACCUACCUAUAAGACUGGGAUAGCUUCGGGAAACCGGAGCUAAUACCGGAUAAUAUUUCGAACCGCAUGGUUCGAUAGUGAAAGAUGGCUUUGCUAUCACUUAUAGAUGGACCUGCGCCGUAUUAGCUAGUUGGUAAGGUAACGGCUUACCAAGGCAACGAUACGUAGCCGACCUGAGAGGGUGAUCGGCCACACUGGAACUGAGACACGGUCCAGACUCCUACGGGAGGCAGCAGUAGGGAAUCUUCCGCAAUGGGCGAAAGCCUGACGGAGCAACGCCGCGUGAGUGAUGAAGGUCUUCGGAUCGUAAAACUCUGUUAUUAGGGAAGAACAAACGUGUAAGUAACUGUGCACGUCUUGACGGUACCUAAUCAGAAAGCCACGGCUAACUACGUG
rnacentral:rRNA from 1 species